AGCUUUGCGCAGUGGCAAUAUCAUAACCAAUGAAGUUAAUCUGAGGUGUGAUUAUUGCUAGUUGAAAUCUUUUAUUGGACCAACUUUUAUUGGUAAAAAAGAGACCAGCUUUUGAGCU
rnacentral:snRNA from 1 species